AAAAUUGCUUGCUGGGUUAGAGCGUCACCCACAAUUCCUAACACGAGACAACAAGAGAGAGAUAAAAAAAUCCUACAGAAUCUUAAUUAAUUUUUUUUUUAACUCACAAAAUCAACUACACUAAAGCAAAGCUUAUACCUAAGAACUACAAUGACUCACCCACAACAAAUCGCAACUAGAUCCCAAGACGGCGAGAGAAUCCAAUCCAAAAAAGAGAAGAGCAAAAAAGGGCCCGCAACACACGUC
rnacentral:misc_RNA from 1 species